rnacentral:rRNA from 1 species
GACAGAGGCCUCGAGCGUUAGGCGGAAUCACUGGGCUUAAAGCGUGUGUAGGCGGGCCCGUAAGUGUCUUGUGAAAUCCCACGGCUCAACCGUGGAACUGCUGGGCAUACUGCGGGUCUUGGGCCAACUAGGGGCAGCCGGAACAAGCGGUGGAGCGGUGAAAUGCGUAGAUAUCGCUUGGAACGCCGAAGGUGAAAACAGGCUGCUGGGGUUGCGCCGACGCUGAGGCACGAAAGCCAGGGGAGCAAACGGG